rnacentral:rRNA from 1 species
AACGUAGGUACCGAGCGUUAUCCGGAUUUACUGGGCGUAAAGCGCGUUCAGGCGGUUUGGCAAGUCGGGCAUGAAAUCUCUCGGCUCAACCGGGAGAGGUUGUCCGAUACUGCUGGACUUGAGGGCAGUAGAGGGUGGUGGAAUUCCGGGUGUAGUGGUGAAAUGCGUAGAUAUCCGGAGGAACACCAGUGGCGAAAGCGGCCACCUGGACUGUACCUGACGCUAACACGCGAAAGCUAGGGGAGCGAACAGG